rnacentral:lncRNA from 1 species
AAAAGGAGAUUAAACAUGAAAUGGUAUGAAAAAAUUUAUUUGUAUUGACAUGCAUAAUGCAUCAAGUGUCUCGUUAGAAUUUUUAUCUCUAAGUUCUGUUUCUCCCUUAUCUGUCUGAAAAGACGUGAGAGGACUGCUCCAUGUGGAUGACGACAUACCCUUUGAUGAGAGUGGUGACGUGAUUUAUCUAUUAGGGGUCACCUUUAGCAAAGUACAGUCGUGGCCAUAGACUAUUUGAUAGGACCACUGUGGUUGGCAC